UGAGGAAUAUUGGUCAAUGGACGCAAGUCUGAACCAGCCAUGCCGCGUGCAGGAUGACUGCUCUAUGAGUUGUAAACUGCUUUUGUACGAGGGUAAAGUCAGCUACGUGUAGCUGUUUGAAAGUACCGUACGAAUAAGGAUCGGCUAACUCCGUGCCAGCAGCCGCGGUAAUACGGAGGAUCCAAGCGUUAUCCGGAUUUAUUGGGUUUAAAGGGUGCGUAGGCGGAAGAUUAAGUUAGUCGUUAAAUCGCAGGGCUCAACCCUGCCAAGGCGAUUAAUACUGGUUUUCUAGAGAUUAGAUGCAGAGGGCGGAAUGUGUAGUGUAGCGGUGAAAUGCUUAGAUAUUACACAGAACACCGAUUGCGAAGGCAGCUCUCUAAUCUAUAUCUGACGCUGAGGCACGAAAGCGUGGGGAUCAAACAGG
rnacentral:rRNA from 1 species